rnacentral:rRNA from 1 species
GUCCAGACUCCUACGGGAGGCAGCAGUGAGGAAUAUUGGUCAAUGGGCGGAAGCCUGAACCAGCCAAGUCGCGUGAGGGAAUAAGGCCCUACGGGUCGUAAACCUCUUUUGCCGGGGAGCAAGGGCGGGGACGUGUCCCGGCCCGGAGAGUACCCGGAGAAAAAGCAUCGGCUAACUCCGUGCCAGCAGCCGCGGUAAUACGGAGGAUGCGAGCGUUAUCCGGAUUUAUUGGGUUUAAAGGGUGCGUAGGCGGGCUUUUAAGUCAGCGGUAAAAAUUCGGGGCUCAACCCCGUCCGGCCGUUGAAACUGGGGGCCUUGAGUGGGCGAGAAGAAGGUGGAAUGCGUGGUGUAGCGGUGAAAUGCAUAGAUAUCACACAGAACACCGAUUGCGAAGGCAUCUCACGAAUCCGCGAUUGACGCUGAUGCACGAAAGCGUGGGUAUCAAACAGGAUUAGAUACCCUAGUA